GUAGGUGGCAAGCGUUGUCCGGAAUUAUUGGGCGUAAAGCGCGCGCAGGCGGUCCUUUAAGUCUGAUGUGAAAGCCCACGGCUCAACCGUGGAGGGUCAUUGGAAACUGGGGGACUUGAGUACAGAAGAGGAAAGCGGAAUUCCAAGUGUAGCGGUGAAAUGCGUAGAGAUUUGGAGGAACACCAGUGGCGAAGGCGGCUUUCUGGUCUGUAACUGACGCUGAGGCGCGAAAGCGUGGGGAGCAAACAGGGAUUAGAUACCCUGGUAGUCCACGCCGUAAACGAUGAGUGCUAAGUGUUAGGGGGUUUCCCGCCCCCUUAGUGCUGCAGCUAACGCAUUAAGCACUCCGCCUGGGGAGUGCGCCGCAAGGCUG
rnacentral:rRNA from 1 species